ACCUGGGUGGCUCAGUCGGUUGAGCGUCUGACUUCAGCUCAGGUCAGGAUCUCACAGUUUGUGAGUUCGAGCCCUGCGUCAGGUU
rnacentral:tRNA from 1 species